UCCCUGGUGGUCUAGUAGUUAAUUAAGAUUCCAUGCUUCCAAAGCAAGGGGCACAGGUUCAAUCCCUGAUCAGGGAA
rnacentral:tRNA from 1 species